rnacentral:rRNA from 1 species
AUGGUUGUCGUCAGCUCGUGUCGUGAGAUGUUGGGUUAAGUCCCGCAACGAGCGCAACCCUCGACCCUUAGUUGCCAGCAUUCAGUUGGGCACUCUAAGGUGACUGCCGGCUAAAAGUCGGAGGAAGGUGGGGAUGACGUCAAAUCAUCAUGCCCCUUAUGACCUGGGCUACACACGUGCUACAAUGGGCGGUACAAAGGGUCGCGAACCCGCGAGGGGGAGCCAAUCCCAAAAAGCCGCUCUCAGUUCGGAUUGCAGGCUGCAACUCGCCUGCAUGAAGCCGGAAUCGCUAGUAAUCGCGGAUCAGCAUGCCGCGGUGAAUACGUUCCCGGGCCUU